GCCCGGAUGGUGGAAUUGGUAGACACGCAGGACUUAAAAUCCUGUUGCCCUAAAAGGCAGUGUGGGUUCAAGUCCCACUCCGGGUA
rnacentral:tRNA from 1 species